AGGCUCUGCCGUACAGCCAGACUCGGUUGCUACGCCUGGCUCCUGGCUUCUUCGGAAUAGAAUUCUUCCUGUUGUGUCCUCGACGGAAGAUGUUGAGGCAUCUGCAGUGGUGACCGUCGAGAAUUCGCAAGAAACAGCCACCACCGACUACUAUAGAAAGUGCAUGGCGACAGCUGUCACGGGACCGUGUACGGCGUUCUUCAGGCUAUGGACUUACAACUUCAAGAAGGGUCAAUGCGAACAGUUCAUCUACGGUGGCUGUAACGGUACCGAAAACCAGUACCGCACCAAGGAAAAAUGUGAAAGGGCCUG